rnacentral:rRNA from 1 species
UACGUAGGGUGCAAGCGUUAAUCGGAAUUACUGGGCGUAAAGCGUGCGCAGGCGGUUGUGCAAGACAGAUGUUAAAUCCCCGGGCUCAACCUGGGAAUUGCAUUUGCGACUGCACGGCUAGAGUGUGUCAGAGGGGGGUAGAAUUCCACGUGUAGCAGUGAAAUGCGUAGAGAUGUGGAGGAAUACCGAUGGCGAAGGCAGCCCCCUGGGCCUGCACUGACGCUCAUGCACGAAAGCGUGGGGAGCAAACAGG